rnacentral:rRNA from 1 species
GAUAAAAAGCUCGUAGUUGGAUUUUGGUUAAGAGGGCGCGGUCGGCCGUUUGGUCUGUACUGCGUUGUCUUGACUUCCUGAUGAGGACAUGCUCUUGGUUAACGCUGAGACAUGGAGUCAUCGUGGUUACUUUGAAAAAAUUAGAGUGUUCAAAGCGGGCUUACGCUUGAAUAUAUUAGCAUGGAAUAACACUAUAGGACUCCUGUCCUAUCUCGUUGGUCUCGGGAUGGGAGUAAUGAUUAAGAGGAACAGUUGGGGGCAUUCGUAUUUCAUUGUCAGAGGUGAAAUUCUUGGAUUUAUGAAAGACGAACUUCUGCGAAAGCAUUUGCCAAGGAUGUUUUCAUUAAUCAAGAACGAGAGUUGGGGGCUCGAAGAUGAUUAGAUACCAUUCUAGUCUCAACCAUAAACGAUGCCGACUAGGGAUUGGUGGAUGUUAAUUGAUGACUUCACCAGCACCUUAUGAGAAAUCAAAGUUUUUGGGUUCCGGGGGGAGUAUGGUCGCAAGGCUGAAACUUACAGGAAUUGACGGAAGGGCACCACCAGGCGUGGAGCCUGCGGCUUAAUUUGACUCACCCCGGGAACCUUC